CGGUUAACUUACAAAUACCGAAGUUAAGCAACGUUGAGCCUGGUCAGUACUUUGAUGUUUGACUGCUUGGGAAUACCAGGUACUGCAAG